UUCGCAAUGCCCGAAAGGGUGAACGAGCGACGCCGCGUGCGGGAUGAAGGCCUUCGGGUCGUAAACCGCUUUUGUAAGGGAAAAACUUAAUGAUGGUACCUUACGAAUAAGAGGUUACUAACUCUGUGCCAGCAGUAGCGGUAAUACAGAGACCUCAAGCGUUAUCCGGAUUUAUUGGGCGUAAAGCGCGGGUAGGCGGUGGCGUAAGUCAGGUGUGAAAUCCCUCGGCCUAACCGAGGAACCGCGCUUGAUACUGCGCUGCUUGAGGACCAGAGGGGUGCAUGGAAUUUCCGGUGGAGCGGUGAAAUGCGUUGAUAUCGGAAGGAACUCCGGCGGCGAAAGCGAUGCACUGGCUGGUUUCUGACGCUGAGGUGCGAAAGCCAGGGGAGCAAACGGGAUUAGAUACCCCGGUAGUCCUGGCCGUAAACGAUGGGCACUAAGUAGAGGGGUUUU
rnacentral:rRNA from 1 species